rnacentral:lncRNA from 1 species
GGACCAAGGACCUGGAUGGACAGCCACACGGGGCUCAGACUGCCUUGUUCGACCGGGAUCUGGAGCCAGCCCCAAGUACUGACAGGCAGGCGGCUGGGCACCCUGGAUCACAGGGACCUGAUGAGGACAAGAGGCAGAACUUGAAGCACUGAUCCACUUGUCUGAGCCCUCAGAUGGAGACCAGAGAGAUUGGGCUGGGCAUGGGCCCUGGACUAAGCAUUUAAGAUUCAGCGAUGAGUUGGACAAUAUCUCUGCCCUCAGAAAAAGCCUGGUCUAGUGAGGAACUAGAACAUGACCCAAAAAUUACAAGAGUGCCCAGCACUAGGACACAGUUAUUUGUGUAUUUUGAAUAUUGGUUGAAUGAAGAAAGAAAAAGAUAAAUGGCUGUUGAGUAUAAGGAGGAGGCAAUCCGUGAGGGCUGCACGAAGGCCACAUGGAAAAGCACUGCUGUCACCACCUCGCCAGGCCCUUCCAGACCAAGGCCUAUGCCAAGCCCAAGAGAGACAGCCUUGCCACACAGAGGAAGCAAACCUGGCAGGAGUUAGAAGAGCUCAGAAACCUGCGAAUGGUCCUUUCAGGGUUCCAGAGCAGCUUCUCUCUGCACCAGCCUGGGGCUGCUCCCUUCAGGACCCCGCACUGCAAGG